GCCGCGCUCUCUCUCUCUCUUCACGUGCGCUCCCAUUAAUGGCUGUCGUUAGGUGUGUAAGGGCCUUCGGCUCGAUGAUGGUUCACCGUGCAGACUUCGUGGCGAGGUGGCCUUCCACAAAAGGUUUGCUUUGGACUCUGUGAUGACGGCCCUUCAUGGUCUGUGGAGAUCUGAGGAGACUCGUCAUGGCGUGACAAGGAGUUGGGCCUCUGCUGCUCCAGGAAGCUCAGUCUGGACAGGCGGCGUGUGACCCCCUCAGUCUGCAGCCUGGCGACGUUUGACGUCGAGUCGGCCGAGUGUGUUGGUCUACGCAGCAGUGAACUGGGACUCCUCGGGAGGCGACGGGUGGCAUCAUGGCACGCUGGCACUAUGUGCACCUGGGUGGCAUCAUGGCACGCUGGCAGUACGGACAGGACACCCGGGUGACUGCGGACAGUCGAGAUGAGCAGGAUGUCAGGGUGGUCUGCGGAUGGACCCUGUGGACUGAGGUGCCACUUUCCUGGUAGUGUAGGCCUUGUGCCAGCUUCUUGAUUGGUUCAAAUAAAAGCCUUUUGUGUUUGACUCA